rnacentral:rRNA from 1 species
CCUACGGGUGACUGCAGUAGGGAAUAUUGGACAAUGGGUGCGAGCCUGAUCCAGCCAUGCCGCGUGCAGGAAGAAGGCGUUAUGCGUUGUAAACUGCUUUUGCCAGGGGAUAAAAUAACUGUGCGCAGUUGAUUGAAGGUACCUGGUGAAUAAGCCACGGCUACCUACGUGCCAGCAGCCGCGGUAAUACGUAGGUGGCAAGCGUGUUCCGGAUUUAUUGGGUUUAAAGGGUGCGCUGGCAGCCCGUUGUGAAAUAUCUCAGCUUAACUGAGAGGGUGCCAUUGAUACUGCGGGGCUUGAGUACAGAUGAGGUAGGCGGAAUUGACGGUGUAGCGGUGAAAUGCAUAGAUAUCGUCAAGAACACCGAUAGCGAAGGCAGCUUACCAAGCUGUAACUGACGCUGAGGCACGAAAGUGUGGGGAUCAAACAGGAUUAGAUACCCUAGUAGUC